CAUCUCGGGGCCGCGGAGCCGCGCGACUCCAGCGCGGCCAGCUCGACGCCACGGCUGAACGAGAACGGCGCCAUCACGCCGCUCCGCUCUGGCGUCACUGCGCCCAACUGUGGCGUCCUCGACGUGCCUCCUCGCCGAGUAGGUGAGUUCCUCUUGCUGUUCGUGUUGGAGAGUUCGAACAAUCGAUUGACAUCUCAGCGCUGAUUGUAUGCAAAUCUUGUUAGUUUUUUUUCCAUGCGGUGAAAUCGAGCUCACCCCCCUUUUUCAGUUUCUAAUGCUGCCUGAUCUAGGCCGAUUACUUCCUGUCAUGCUCCAGAACACAUUGCAUUUGCAAACCUUUGGGUGUGAGGACAAGAAGAUGAACUUAAAGUCAGCGGGCAGCAGCAUGUUUGGUUGUCAGGAGAUGCAUGAUGUUUGGUUGUUAGCUCAUCUAUAAUGAUUGUUAUUGACUAAUUAUUUCUUCUCACCAUGAUUUCAGAAUGCUGUUGUGAUCCUUAUCCAUUAGUUGUGAUGAUAAUCUGCAUAUUUUGAAUUCGUUGGAUGAAUCUUCAAACUACAUUGCAUAAAUUUUAACUGAGAUUUUGCAAUGCAGAUCUGUGAUGUCAUUGCUGUGGCCAGCUUGCUUAAUACAACUCUUGUGAACCAAACACUUCGUCUGAAUAGUGCUUAGCAUGAUUCUAGGCUGAGGACUUUGAGGAUACGAGAUUACUGACCAAGCUUAUAGUUCAUUGCUUGUGAGUUGUCUGCUAAAAGGUUUGUCAAAUUGGUUGAGUUAUUGUUAGGAUGAUCUAAAUUUUGUGACAGUGGGUCCAUGACAAGGUCCGCAUACUGCCUCUGAAAAAAGCUGUCAAAGAGCCUAAAGUGAGUCGAUGAUAUAUACAACAUUGAUCAUGGAAGGAUUUGAUUCCAACAACAUUGGCUGCAUCAAGAUUGCAUGAAGAUAACAUGAGAAAUGGAUUGAUAAGAGAGCAAUGCCGGUCCAGGUAGGAGAAGCAAAGUUAUCUCAGAAAUUCAUGUGCAAGUCAAUUGUUUUAUUUUUACCUUUUCCAAAUCAUUGUAAGGCAACCUACUUUUUCAGCAGGUUUCUAGGAUUGGGAAAGGAGAAGGGCAUGCAAGGGGACUUUAUGGAUUUUAAGAGCUUAGAGAAUGAAAUUAUGGGGAUCCCUUUAGGAUGAUUCCCCCGUUUAAUUUUUUUAGCUUAGUUGUGAUGCCUAAGUGACUAAUGGAAAUGUUCUGAGAUGAAAGGAUACCGGUUUAUUAACAUGCAGAAUUGGUUGGAACUACGAUGUAAUACAUGAUAGGAAAGCUCUUACUAUGUGUUACAAGGGUCUGAAUAUUGUUCUCUCCUCUUUUUUUGUUGCAGUAGGCACACGGGUAUAAAAAGUUUUCGUUGAAAAUUGAUAAUCAGUGGAUUAAAUUGUUUGGAACAAUGUUAUUUAUUA